CCUACGGGAGACAGCAGUGAGGAAUAUUGGUCAAUGGGCGCGAGCCUGAACCAGCCAAGUCGCGUGAGGGAAGAAGGUACUGCGUAUUGUAAACCUCUUUUGUCAGGGAACAAAGGCGGGGACUAGUCCCCGGAUGAGGGUACCUGAAGAAAAAGCAUCGGCUAACUCCGUGCCAGCAGCCGGGGUAAUACGGAGGAUGCGAGCGUUAUCCGGAUUUAUUGGGUUUAAAGGGUGCGCAGGCGGCAUUUUAAGUCAGCGGUAAAAGGGCGGGGCUCAACCCCGGCGAGCCGUUGAAACUGGCGGGCUUGAGUGCGCGAGAAGUACGCGGAAUGCGUGGUGUAGCGGUGAAAUGCUUAGAUAUCGCGCAGAACCCCGAUUGCGAAGGCAGCAUACCGGCUCGACACUGACGCUGAGGCACGAAAGCGUGGGUAUCGAACAGGAUUAGAUACCCGAGUAGUC
rnacentral:rRNA from 1 species